rnacentral:misc_RNA from 1 species
CAAAGAAAGGGCAGAAGAUUGCUAUUAAGAUAGUUGGGCACUCUUCGGAGGAGCAACAAAAGAUGUAUGGUAGACACUUUGAUUUGGAGGACGAACUUGUCAGCCAUAUAUCGAGGAAGUCCAUUGACCUUCUCAAAGCGAACUACCGGGAUGAUUUGUCCACGGAUGAGUGGAGACUCGUGGUGAAAUUGAAGAAUCUCUUCAAGAUACAGUGAAGUGAACAUCAUCAACUCGAGCGGUUUGCGACUUUUCAAACAGCUGGUUCGGAUCCGGUGUCAUUGGGUUAACAUGUCGAAGAUACAGAGGAAACGUGGGAGAAAAG